rnacentral:rRNA from 1 species
AGGGGGAUAACUACUGGAAACGGUAGCUAAUACCGCAUAANGUCUNCGGACCAAAGUGGGGGACCUUCGGGCCUCAUGCCAUCAGAUGUGCCCAGAUGGGAUUAGCUAGUAGGUGGGGUAAUGGCUCACCUAGGCGACGAUCCCUAGCUGGUCUGAGAGGAUGACCAGCCACACUGGAACUGAGACACGGUCCAGACUCCUACGGGAGGCAGCAGUGGGGAAUAUUGCACAAUGGGCGCAAGCCUGAUGCAGCCAUGCCGCGUGUGUGAAGAAGGCCUUCGGGUUGUAAAGCACUUUCAGCGAGGAGGAAGGGUUCNGUGUUAAUAGCACNNUNCAUUGACGUUACUCGCAGAAGAAGCACCGGCUAACUCCGUGCCAGCAGCCGCGGUAAUACGGAGGGUGCAAGCGUUAAUCGGAAUUACUGGGCGUAAAGCGCACGCAGGCGGUUUGUUAAGUCAGAUGUGAAAUCCCCGCGCUUAACGUGGGAACUGCAUUUGAAACUGGCAAGCUAGAGUCUUGUAGAGGGGGGUAGAAUUCCAGGUGUAGCGGUGAAAUGCGUA